GAUAAGGUUCAUAUGAAUCAUUACUCCUUACCCAGGCAGUAAUGUUCCCGAAGUUUUCUCUUCGUUCUAUGUUUCAUGGUAGUUUAACCUUAUUAACUCUUCUGCAGGCUUUUUGUACACUUAAGAAAACUCUUUAACUCUUGUUGUUUACUUUUUUUCUGGAGCUGGAGGAGGGAAUGAUAUUCAGUGGUGUUUUUCUCAGGUGAAAGGAGCAGUAGAUGAUGAUGUAGCAGAAGCAGAUAUAAUUUCUACAGUAGAAUUUAAUCAUUCUGGAGAAUUACUAGCAACAGGAGAUAAAGGUGGUAGAGUUGUCAUCUUUCAACAGGAGCAGGAGAACAAAAUCCAGUCUCAUAGCAGAGGAGAAUAUAAUGUUUACAGCACCUUCCAGAGCCAUGAACCAGAGUUUGACUACUUGAAAAGUUUAGAAAUAGAAGAAAAGAUCAACAAAAUUAGGUGGUUACCCCAGAAAAAUGCUGCUCAGUUUUUAUUGUCUACCAAUGAUAAAACAAUAAAAUUAUGGAAAAUCAGUGAAAGGGACAAAAGACCAGAAGGGUAUAACUUGAAAGAGG
rnacentral:sRNA from 1 species